UCAAACAAUGUGUUUUUCCCUGGAUAUGAGAUUUUUUGAACUGUCCUCACUAGUCUACCCACCACCUUUACCCUCCAAUGGUUCCACGAGGUCUCAAAGAAGUAUUAUGGAUGUAAUAAUGUCACUUUCACUAGUAUAAAUUAUAUAUACUGAUUCGUGAAGUUCUUUUACUAUCAGCAUUCUUAGUAUAUUCAACAACAAUGAAGAGGAUGUGGAAGGUACCAGAAUAAACAGCAAAAUACUCUUAGUCAAGAUAUGUUUUAAAUAACAAGAAUUGCUUGGAAGUCAUGGUUCCAUCCUGUCUACAGGGGGAGUAUAUUUCUAACCAUUCAUUUUUCUAAUUCCAUUGGAGAUGAUGGAUUCAGUGUGCUUAAUAAGGAAUGUUCUUACUCAAAAUGAUUGUGAUGUCACGGCCAUUCCAUUGUUUCUGUAAAAAUGUAAGGCCCAUGUGAGCAGAGACUCUGUUUUGUUCACCGUGGCAUUCCAAGCACCAGGAAAGCCAGGCCGUGGCAAGUGGUAGACACCCAAUAAGCAUAAGCAGAAUGGUUGAAAAUCUCCACAUUUGUGUCUUAUAUCGACAUACUGGAAUCUCCAGGACCCAGCACUGUCAUGUGUCUUGCAUGGGCCUCCCGCCCUGUCAGGUCUGCAUCCCAGGCAUGUGGUUACCAGACAGGUCAAGAACUUGAAGCACCCUGACAAGACUGCUUUUAGUCUUAACCUACAAUGAAGUCACAUGCCCAUGCCCGUAUCCGGAUUCAACUGACACCUCAUGAAAGAUGAACACUUUUUUAUGUAUACACAAAUUCACCAACUCAAUGUUAAAUGCCCAGCACUCUUCUCUGGGGCCUUUCCUGGAGUCGCUGUCUAUAGAGAGCCAUGGCUUUUUUCAUUCAUUGUCUCUAUGUUUUGUGUUUCCUUGUAGUCUUAAACUCAGACGAGCAGCUCUGGGU